CUUUAAGGCGGACUGUGCAGGGACACCCGCGAGGGUGUGCCGGAACCUGUGGCCGGUCGACCAACCCUGUACGGUCUGCCACCCUC
rnacentral:antisense_RNA from 1 species